GCAAACACCUCCUUCCGCAGGCACAACCUCACAAUGGCAGAGGCCACAAUGGGGCGUGUGUGCAGUGUGCGCAUGCGCCCGUGUGACGUCACCUUCAGUCCUUGAAGUGAAGCCUUGUGACUGUUCCCCCAGGCCCUGAUCGACUUCUUUUCAUUGCAAAGGGAGGGAAAAAGCUUUGCAUCGUGGACAGAAGUGGAACACCAGAAUGUAAGCAAACAAGACUCAACUGGGUGGACAAGUGUAUUCCACUGUGGAGAGCAGCCCAACAAUUAUUUGUAGUAGUGGAUGGCCUGUCUGCUGAUGCUGAUGUUCAACAACAUCCCUAACCUCUCUCUACCCACUGGAUGACUCCUCCUCCCCCAGCUGUGAUAACCAGCAGUGUCUCCAGACGGUGCCAAAUGUCUCUUUUUAGGCAAAGUCACUAUUAAUUAAGAACCACUAAUCUAAAAGAUUUUGCUUCUGUAUCUCAUGUACCAAAAAAAUAUAGUCCUAGAGAUCACAAUCUGUGUGUGUGUGUGUGUGUAUGUGUGUGUGUGUGUGUUUCCUGUGCCAUGGGUCCCCAAGAUCACACUCAGGUUGGAUGAUUCACUACGAGGAUUCACAGAACUCAGGAUAUUGGCAUAUUCACAGCUAUGAUUUAUUGCAGUGAAAGGAUACAAAGCAAAAUCAACAGAGAGAAAAGGCACAUCAAAGUUCAGAGGAAACCAGGUGCAAGCUUCCAAGACCUCUUUCCCUUUGGAGUCACAGAGAUGCAGUUAAUUCUUCCAGCAGUGGGUUGUGAGAAUAUGUGUGGAGUUCUGUCCAUCAAAGGAGCUCAUUAGGCACUUAAUAUUCACUGCCCAGCAUGUAUGAAAACUCCAGACUCUCAGAAGGGAAGCAGUUGUUUAGCCAAAACCACAUUGUUUGUACAAAUAAUUCAUGUAUGCCACGCUUAUUAGUUAAUAAUGAUGGGGAUUUUCAAGAAACCCAAGUUCCUAAGUGCUAGCCAGGGUUCAACCUUGUAAGCAGGUCUUCCUAAGGGUAAUGGUCCCAGCCUGCUAUGCUAACUCUAUCUGCACACUUCCCUACACAAAGUUUUGUGAAAUGCCAACUACAUUUUAGGCACCCAAAGAUUUACAGAACAAAUGAGUUAACCAAGUAAUCAAUCUAUCUUGUUUUCCAUAAGAAUCCAUUAAACUUCUUUAUUUAGACUUUUGUUCCUAGGGAUUCUUAGCUACAUAGAGGGAAAUAUUCCCAGCAAUGAAAUAUAAUCACAAAUUAUAGAAUUAAAUAGAAGAUUUUAGUUAAUUAUGCCACCCUCGACACGCAUUUCUAGAAAAUCUCCAAACAAUUCAAUAUGUCACAGAGGACUCCAUUUUUGGUGAAAAGAACAUGGGGCAUGGUAAUGUUCUGGUCAUUAAAUUCCCAGACACAACCACCAAGAGAAUGAGCAAUGUAAAUCUAGACUACAUGAACAACCCUUUUCUUCCAAGAAGUCUGUGCCAUUUUGGAAGAUAAAAUCACUCAACGGUAAAUUUUGUUUAAUAGUUGACUUAUCUACUCUCCUCCAGUCCAGACAAAGGGCUCAUAAUUAAUAGGAUGGCUAGCAAAAAUUAGCUUUAUCUGAUUUUUCAAACAAGAGAAUGAGCCCUCUUCUUAUGCUAAUGAAACCAUAUGGCCCUCUUUAUAACACCUGUCCUCAGGGGUAGGUUGGGUUUUAUUUUUGCAGCACCCUUGGCCACCCACCCUCCCUCACCCCGCGUGCAGUCUUUAUGAAGGGCAAGACUGUCACUGCUCUUGUCUCUCACCUUGGUCUCCCCAGAAUCCUGCUUAGUCUGCACCAAACUUAUUUAUUUUAAUAAAGCUUUAGGGGAUCACGGUCAAGAGUCUAUAUACCCCCAGGGUAUUUUAGUUUAAAGGCAAGCAUGUUUAAAGGCAAACAUGGUUUUCAAAAAGUAUAUUAAAGACAAAUCAGCAGGCCUUUCAGGAUUUGUUUCCUUGAUUCUAAGGUGUGCUAAGAACGGUUCCAGAUGGACGCUGACACCAUUCGUGACAUUCGUGACGGCGCUUGGGAGGGUCCUUCGGUUGCCAAAACACUGUAGUAGACACCUCUAAGCGUUUUCCACAGCGUGCCCUAACAAAUAGUAUCUUCUGUGUUUGCAUGUUUUGAGAACAGGAUUGGGAAACAUUCAUUAGAGGAAGCACUUUGCUCUUAAACGCUGUCCUCAUGCCUUUGAAUGCACGUAUUCCUGGUUAGACAGAGAGGGUGCAUUGGGCACAGGCCCCUGGCCAUGAGUUUGUUUGUAGAUUAUUCCUAUUCCCUCUCUCCCUCCAUGCUGUGCUGUUUGUGUUUCUUCCUGAAGAACUGUACCUUAAGGGAACUAUUCUGUACCCAUUAUUUUCCAAAAGGUGAAAAGGGCUCAGCAAAUGCUGAUGUCUGGAAGGGCACCUUGACUGAGAUCACAGAGUUAACAUCCCCCUGACAGUGGUCCAGGAAGCACGGUCCAGCUAGACGAGCCAGUGUGAACAACCUUCUAAUUCCAGGCCGAACUUACUCGCCAUAUGCAAAGAACAUAGGUUUGUGUGACAAUUUAAGUUGAUUCUAGCAACUUCCAGCUAAUCCUUGAAGACUUGUCACAAUUAGAUAUUCAACUGAGGUGCACGCCGCGGACCAUCUGUGAGAGGGCAUUACUUCAUUUCUCUCAGGGAAUAGGGAGACUCGUUCUGAUGAGGGGCCCACCCUGGCUUUUUGUGAAGGCUGGAGAGCGCCAGGUGGUUGGUGCAGAUAAAUACAGAGAACAAUAGUGAAGGAAAACACGCCGGGGCUCUGCCCGCAAAGCUCUGCAAUAUUGCUGUGUACCUACAACAGGUGGUGUCCACUGAGACCCUCUGUGUCAGGCCUGUGUACACGGCUAGCAUAUGACUCACGUUCCGUAGCUCAGAUUCCAAGAAACAAUAAAAACACAGAUGGUACGAAAUUUCAGAGAGCAAUAAGGGCAUGAAACCCUCAAGAAAUACAACUAUGAAAUCCUCCCGUUCUCAACGGGACUGUACUUACAUUGCUACCUGCAGAAAGAGCUCGUGGGAGUAAUUACGGGGUUAGGUGGUCUUCAGGUUAAAAUGUUAAUACAUAAUACUUAGCCUGUUGAGACGUUUCAAGAGAAACGUAGAUUUCCCAGGAAAACUGGAGAGUGGCCUAUUAACUACACAAAUGUGAUCUAUUAGGCCUGAUUUUUAAACGUGAAAAGAGGGAUUUUUCCAUCAACCUGAAGAGGAGAGAGAAUCUUUACAAGAUCUCCUCGUCCUGAGCCCAGUACAUAACAAGGAAAGCAAAGUGGAAUGGAAAAUAAGACCAAGGAAAAUAAUGCUGUGUCUUUCAGGGGUGCCUAAGCAUUUUAUGAACGUGAAUAUCCAUAGUAUCUAGCUGUGUUCCAGGCACGGACAGAUCCAAACAUGAUGCACUGAGUGUCUCUGGGCCAGAGACAGAAGUCUUGAAAUAGGCCAAUGCCAAAGAGAGGAGCACAUUCAGCAGUGAGAGGAGGUGCAGGACCGAGCGUAUUAAAUCCACUGGCGAGCCGUGUUCCUCCAUGUCCCUCCAGAAUUUAUUACACACCCCAAGGCAUAAUGACGUCCAUGAAUCACUGUAAAACCUGUUUGGCAAAGAAUUUUAAAACUUCAAAAGAAACAAGAGAUUGGAGACGAUAAUCACAGAUGGAAGGAUAAAUCCAAAAUGAUACGAAGAAAAAAGAACCAGACAUAAGCUUCAUGAGAAGAGAUUUUUUUUUUGUUUCUAUCUGCUGCGUCCCCACUACUGAGAACUGUGUUUGCACACAGUAGGCACUGAAUAGAAUUGUUCAAUGAUGGAACAAAGUGUAAUAGAAUAUAAUUUGUAUUAGAACAAAUAAAUUACCCAAUGACCUA